GCGCGCUGUAGUUGUCUGGUUGGCUGUGGGCUGGGUUUCCAUGACCUGAUCAAAUGCAGAUCAUAACAUCAGUAAUAGAUUUUAAUAAAAAUGGAGAAAGAUCGAACAAUAAACUCAGAAAAUAUCAGCAGCUCCCGCUGUACCUUCUUCACUACACAGCCGGACGAUUAUCGAUGUGAAGUGAUUCUUGCUGUAAAAAAGGCCACUGGGACGUUUUCUCUAGUAGCAUGGUAGGCAUAUUUUAUACAUAUCUCUCAGAAUAAUUUCCCAGACGCUGUAAAUAAAUAUUGAUGCUCUUUUCUCUCUGCAGUCUCUUUAUGCUGUUUGUGAUUUGGCUGCUGAGGAGAUAUAACUCUCUGGCUCAGAAGAUGAUAGUGAGUCUAACAGUGGCAGCGUUCUUUGACAGUGUUGCAUAUGUCAUGGGAGAGUCUCAUCCAGAGGGCACUCUGUGUAAUUUCCAGGCCUGGUGGUUAACGUAUUUUGACUGGAGUGCGCUGGCCUGGGUGUGUCUCAUCACCUGGAAUCUCUACCUGAACCUCGUCAGAGAGAUCAGAACCGAUCAUUAUGAGAUACUGUACCAUAUAGUUGCGUGGGGGAUUCCCCUCCUAAUGUCCGCACUCCCUCUAAUUCAAGGAUACUACGGUCCAGCUGGAGCCUGGUGCUGGAUCACAGAUGAUCAUGUGGCCUGGAGGUUUGGGAUAUGGUACGUCCCACUCUUCACUCUUAUCCUCCUCAUGAUCUGCUGUUACGCUCGUAUUAUCUACGUGGCCAGUGAUAGGGUGAGUAACAUUCAGUAAAAUGCGUGUAAAAUGAAAAUGAAUGAAUUGAACAGGAAGUGAAUGUACAGAUAAUAUGCUGAUUUCAUUCGUCUCUUCAGUGAAUUCCAGAGUGUUGAGUGUUGCUUUCGCAUAGCUUUACUAGACUUGACUAUCUGGCUAGAAAGUGAGCAGCAUUCCUCCUGCUCUUUGUUUGUGGUGGUAAUGCUGACUCCUGAGGGCUGAUGAACUAUAGAACACCGUUCUGCAAUCUAGAACAUUCUGCUGCACAGAGCAUGGUUUUUCUAAUGACUAUAUAUAUAUAUAUAUAUAUAUAUAUAUACACAAAUAUGCAUGUAUGCUGAUAUUUGAGAUAUAGACAAAAAAAUAAAUGGGAAAAUUGAAUAAAUAUAUCUUGUGUG
rnacentral:lncRNA from 1 species